GGGCUCACACAAGCGGUGGAGGAUGUGGCUUAAUUCGAGGCUACGCGAAGAACCUUAUCCAGGUCUUGACAUGUACGGAUUAACCCCGUGAAAGCGGGGCCACAGCUUCGGCUGGAACGUGCACAGGUGCUGCAUGGCUGUCGUCAGCUCGUGUCGUGAGAUGUCGGGUUAAGUCCCUUAACGAGCGAAACCCUUGUCUCUAGUUGCCAGCGAGUAAUGUCGGGGACUCUAGAGAGACUGCCGGUGUUAAACCGGAGGAAGGCGGGGAUGACGUCAAGUCCUCAUGGCCUUUAUGACCUGGGCUGCACACGUCCUACAAUGGCGUCUACAAAGGGAAGCAAACUCGUGAGAGCAAGCAAAUCCCAAAAAGGGCGCCUCAGUUCGGAUUGCAGGCUGCAACUCGCCUGCAUGAAGCUGGAAUCGCUAGUAAUCGCCGGUCAGCAUACGGCGGUGAAUGUGUUCCUGAGCCUU
rnacentral:rRNA from 1 species